rnacentral:rRNA from 1 species
CAGUAGCCACGGUAAUACGAAGGAGGCUAGCGUUGCUCGGAAUCACUGGGCGUAAAGGGUGCGUAGGCGGGUCUUUAAGUCAGGGGUGAAAUCCUGGAGCUCAACUCCGGAACUGCCUUUGAUACUGAAGAUCUUGAGUUCGGGAGAGGUGAGUGGAACUGCGAGUGUAGAGGUGAAAUUCGUAGAUAUUCGCAAGAACACCAGUGGCGAAGGCGGCUCACUGGCCCGACACUGACGCUGAGGCACGAAAGCGUGGGGAGCAAACAGGAUUAGAUACCCCUGUAGUCCCUGUCUCUUAUAC